ACACAACUAGAUCUUAUCUCAAAGGAGGUGCCAGAGAUGAUGGUACGCCUGCAGGGAGAAGGGAAGCCAAGAUGGUCAGCCACGGGGAAGCUCAUCCACAGAGGGAAAGCUCAAUCCUGACCAUCUCGGCAAUCCUCAGUUUCUGCAGGAUGUUUGAAAGCUCCCAUUCGCUGCUGCCUUUGAAAGCUCCCAUUCGCUGCUGCCGCCUCUGCUCUCCACCAUGCUUCAGCUGCCCGUUGCCCCGCCCCGUGGCCUCUGACAUGUUUUGAAUGUCAUUUGAUAGAUGUCUAUCUGCUGCUUUUGUCUGUCUGUCAUUUGCUGCUUACUCUCUUGCUUGCUAUAUAAUGAAUAAACUCACAUAUUGGAAACUAAA
rnacentral:lncRNA from 1 species